AACGGGUGAGGAACACGUGAGAAACCUGCCUUUCAUUCUGGGAUAACACCGGGAAACCGGUGCUAAUACCGGAUACUCCGUCUUGGCGGCAUCGCCGAGCCGGGAAAAAAUUUGAUGAAAGAUGACCUCGCGGCCUAUCAGCUUGUUGGUGAGGUAAUGGCUCACCAAGGCAACGACGGGUAGCCGGCCUGAGAGGGCGACCGGCCACACUGGGACUGAGACACGGCCCAGACUCCUACGGGAGGCAGCAGUGGGGAAUAUUGGGCAAUGGAGGAAACUCUGACCCAGCGACGCCGCGUGAGGGAUGAAGGCCUUCGGGUUGUAAACCUCUUUCAGCAGGGAAUAAGCGAAAGUGAAGGUACCUGCAGAAGAAGCACCGGCUAACUAUGUGCCAGCAGCCGCGGUAAUACAUAGGGUGCAAGCGUUGUCCGGAAUUAUUGGGCGUAAAGAGCUCGUAGGUGGUCGAUCACGUCGGAUGUGAAAAUCUGAGGCUUAACCUCAGACCUGCAUUCGAUACGGGUUGACUGGAGUGUGGUAGGGGAGACUGGAAUUCCUGGUGUAGCGGUGGAAUGCGCAGAUAUCAGGAGGAACACCGAUGGCGAAGGCAGGUCUCUGGGCCAUUACUGACACUGAGGAGCGAAAGCGUGGGGAGCGAACAGGAUUAGAUACCCUGGUAGUCCGCGCCGUAAACGGUGGGUACUAGUUGUGGGAACCUUCCACGGUUUCUGCGACGACGCUAACGCAUUAAGUACCCCGCCUGGGGAGUACGAUCGCAAGAUUAAAACUCAAAGGAAUUGACGGGGCCCCGCACAAGCAGCGGAGCAUGCGGCUCAAUUCGAUGCAACGCGAAGAACCUUACCAAGGCUUGACAUAUAGCGAAAAGUGGCAGAGAUGUCAUGUCCGCAAGGGCGCUAUACAGGUGGUGCAUGGUUGUCGUCAGCUCGUGUCGUGAGAUGUUGGGUUAAGUCCCGCAACGAGCGCAACCCUCGUUCUGUGUUACCAGCAUUUAGUUGGGGACUCACAGGAGACUGCCGGGGUUAACUCGGAGGAAGGUGGGGAUGACGUCAAAUCCUCAUGCCCCUUAUGUCUUGGGCUGCACGCAUGCUACAAUGGCCGGUACAGAGGGCUGCGAAACCGUAAGGUGGAGCGAAUCCCAAAAGCCGGUCUCAGUUCAGAUUGAGGUCUACAAC
rnacentral:rRNA from 1 species